UACGGGGGGGGCAAGCGUUGUUCGGAAUUACUGGGCGUAAAGGGCUCGUAGGUGGCCAACUAAGUCGGACGUGAAAUCCCUCAGCUUAACUGGGGAACUGCGUCCGAUACUGGAUGGCUCGAGUUUGGGAGAGGGAUGCGGAAUUCCAGGUGUAGCGGUGAAAUGCGUAGAGAUGUGGAGGAACACCGAUGGCGAAGGCAGCCUCCUGGGCCAAUACUGACGCUCAUGCACGAAAGCGUGGGGAGCAAACAGG
rnacentral:rRNA from 1 species